GUGCUCACUUUGGCAGCACAUAUACUAAAAUUGGAACAAUACAAAGUAGAUGAGCAUGGUCCUUGCACAAGGAUGACAUGCAAACUCAUGAAGCAUUCCAUACUUUU